UUUGUGAUUUGGAAUAUAUAGCCCUGUCAAAAGCUGUUUUUUUUUCAAGCUUCUUGAUGUAGACAUAUCUUAAAAACCUGAAAAAUAGGGUUGAACAAUUUAUCAUUUUCUGACUGAAAGUGGGAUUUCAGACGGUGGGAUUGUGUGAUCACUAAAGCUUCAGUUUUUUACAACACUCCUGACCGACCCAGGAUGUGUGGUGUCAACGUCUACCUUUCAGAUACACUAAUUAAUGAGACAUGGCUACUGUGGCAUGCAAACUCUGUGAAAACAAACUGAUGUCUUUAAAGGUGGUGUGUGGAAAUGUCAAUUGUAAUCUACAUUAAGGACAGAGAUUGGUCGUUACGACUCAGUACUCUUUGUUGCUACCUUCUUUGGGGAUUACAAAUAUAACUGCUUCAUUCCAAGAGGGGGGGGUUUCAGCAUGUUGGAGUGUCCAGUUAAAGAUCUCUGAUAAUAAGAGGAGAUCUCCUGUCUGAAUAUCUUGUACCACUCAUUUGGGCACCCAUCACUCCCAGAACUUUUAUUGGUCUUCAGUUUACUGAUGACUUUGUCCAGCUCUUCUUCUGUUAUUGCAGAGUUCAGAGGUCAGAGCUAACAUUUUGGUGAGUACUUAUGGAAGGCAGGGCCUGUUUUAACCAGUAGUUUUAAUCUCCGUCUCAUUUAUAUUGUCAGGUGGCGAGUACAGCAUUUUAUAGUACCUUUAAAGGCCUUGCAGUCUCUCCUCCACGGAGACUCUGCAGCCGACGCAUCCGGUGCAGAAUGGCAAAGAUCUGCUGCAGAGGACACGGUGUGUCUGGUGUAAAAUGGGGGUCAGGCUGCUGGUCAUACACCUUCCACCUCCAUGAUGAGAAAAACUCCGCUGUGGGGUAGAUUAAAAGUGAGUAGGGUGGUAGAGAGACAUUGAGGAAUUGCUGGUUGAUGUUGAACCACUCUCUAUUCUGGUUUCUGUGAUAAAAACAAACA